rnacentral:tRNA from 1 species
GGGCACGUAGCUCAAUGGUGAGAGCGCCGGUCUUAUAAGCCGUCGGCUGCUAGUUCGAGUCUAGCCGUGCCCA